GGACGCGGGAGGGGGAGGGCUGUGCUGUCCAUUUGGCGGGACCUUUUCUUGGCUACAGAUGGUAAGGUCCCGCCUCCCGUUGGUGGUCUUCGGCUUCGUUAGGUGCGGGCUGGGCUCCUAAACACUGCACCCCACCCAGCUCCCUCUGCCUUUCCACCUGUUUAUCGAGAAACCUCACAGAGCAUCUCUACGCUGCUGAGUCCUGAGAACCCUGCCCAGUGAGCCCAGGCGCUGCCCUUGGGAUGCUCAGCUCUCAGAUGAGGCCCAAUCUCCUUAACUGAGCAUUCAAGGCCUCACGUGAUCCUGCGCCUGCCACCCUCUCCAGCCUGCCUCCGCUGCCUCUCUCUGAUGUGGAUCCAGCUCUCUGGUUGCAUCAGGCAGGGACAACGCUGAUUCGAGGAUCCCGGAACCUAGCAUGAGACCUGGUACAGGGAAGAUGUCAGAAAAAGCUUAUUGACUUCCUCAAGGCCGCCUUUCUUCUGUGCACUGCCAAGACUGAAAGCGUUCAUGUGUCCUGUCACGGAGGACCUGUCACAGGGACCCCAAGCAGAACUCCAAGCGUGACCUCUUGAGCAGAAGCAGCACAGUGCUCCACUGCGACACCUUCCUGACUGUCUACAGGGCUGUCUGUCAGGGCCUGAGGGCUGUUGACGAAAAUAAUCCAUAACCAAUCUAUAAAUGAAAAUUUGGGUGAGUUUAUUCUGAGCUGAAAUCUGAGGACCAUGGCCCGGGGCCUUUCUUUUCGAAGGAAGAAAGGGCACCAAAGAAGUGGGGUGCACAGAGUGGUUAUAUACCCCCAUACAGGACGUUUCACAUGUGAUUGAAAUGUCCCUCCCACAAUAGUCACAAGAUUGCCCUGUCGGCACAGCACUUGAUGGACACAGCAGGUAGUGGGUCUGCUCUCUCAGAGGGCGUAGCAGGAGGCAAGUCUAUUGGCUCGAGCUGGGUGGUCACAGGUGAGCCCAGCAAUCAGUUUCUAGCCUGAGGAAAGAUGCUUAAUCCUUAAAGAAAUGCCAACGUUGGGAUGGGGAGGGAAGUUGCACCUUUAUCUCAAGGGCCUUUGCUCUUGCCAUAGGGAAUCUCUAAAGCAGAUAUACCAUGCAUGCUCACUGGCCUCGGUCAGGCCCUUUUGGAAAGACAAGGUCAGGCCGAAUUAGGUUUACACAAAAUGGCUUCCUCAUAUACUCCAAUAUAUCCUAUUACUUGCCAUUUUUAUUUGUCAGGGCCAAGCAUCCCUCCGUGUGACCUUGAGCAAAUUCCCUCAGCCUCCCCUGCUGUGCCACACAGCCACAUGGAAGGGGGUGGGAGGACCUCCAGAUCUGAAUGCCUGGGUUUGAGUCCCAGCCCUGCCCCACACACCAGUGUGACCCCAGGCGAGUUUCUCAGCCUCUCUGUG
rnacentral:lncRNA from 1 species